UCCCUCUCAGACAUUUAUUGGUUCAUUCAUUCGUUCAUUUUGCUGUAACUCACAGUGGCCCUCCCCAUCCUAAGGUGCACUGCUGGGAUUGGUCUAUGUGCUGAUGAUGUUCUCCUUGUCUUCAGAGGAAAAAGAAUGCCUGUGUUUCGAAGUUCCUUCUUAGGACGAAACCAGCUGAAGCUGGCGAAAUCCAAGAUGGCGCCUCUGAAGAGCCUCUGGCUUUAUCAUCAUCCUGUUCUCAUGCUAAACAACAUGUCGCCAUGACAACGACUGGAAGAGACCAAGAAGGGACAGAAAAAAAGGGGUUUCUUGAUUCCGGGAAAAAUCUCCGUUCUUUCCCAAGGAAAGCACGAAUAUUCCCCCCCGUGCUCUUAAUGCCCAGCCCCUUCAUUAAAGACACCCUACCUCUGAAACUUC
ensembl:lncRNA NQO2-AS1 NQO2 antisense RNA 1